AGAGUUUGAUCAUGGCUCAGGACGAACGCUGGCGGCGUGCCUAAUACAUGCAAGUCGAGCGGACUUUAAAAGCUUGCUUUUAAAGUUAGCGGCGGACGGGUGAGUAACACGUGGGCAACCUGCCUGUAAGACUGGGAUAACUUCGGGAAACCGGAGCUAAUACCGGAUAAUCCUUUUCCUCUCAUGAGGAAAAGCUGAAAGACGGUUUACGCUGUCACUUACAGAUGGGCCCGCGGCGCAUUAGCUAGUUGGUGAGGUAACGGCUCACCAAGGCGACGAUGCGUAGCCGACCUGAGAGGGUGAUCGGCCACACUGGGACUGAGACACGGCCCAGACUCCUACGGGAGGCAGCAGUAGGGAAUCUUCCGCAAUGGACGAAAGUCUGACGGAGCAACGCCGCGUGAGUGAUGAAGGUUUUCGGAUCGUAAAACUCUGUUGUUAGGGAAGAACAAGUACAAGAGUAACUGCUUGUAC
rnacentral:rRNA from 1 species